GUAGAAGCAUCAGACAAGGUUCUAAAGACUGUUGACAUCUAAUGGUUGGGAGCCGGCAGCACCUGCAGAAAGACUUCUUCCUCUACAACGCUUCCAAGGCCAGUGCAAAUCUUACAUUAAUCUGCACGAGGUGAGAGAGCGCUUCUGCCUGCCCCUUGGGGAGAACGUGAUCAUCCCUUCGACCCCCAUGAGGAGGGAGUUCACCCUAAGGGUCUUCUCUGAGAAGAACAACACCUCAGAGUAACUGUGGGGAGGGAGAGUGGGGUUAGGGAGUGUAUCUAUGAAUUAGUGUGCAAAUGUUUGGUUUCUGUGGGUGAACAUUUGUGUGUGUGAGUGGCAUGCCAGUCAAGAGUAGCAGUAAAAAUAAAGCGUCCAUGGCAGUAAAAAUGG